rnacentral:tRNA from 1 species
GAGGUAAUGGCGGAAUGGUUACGCAGCGGAUUGCAAAUCCGUUCAAUGCUGGUUCGAUUCCAGUUUACCUCU